rnacentral:snRNA from 1 species
GUGCUCACUUCAGCAGCACAUAUACUAAAAAUUGGAAUGAUACAGAGAAGAUUAGCAUGUCCCCUGUGCAAGGAUGACAUGCAAAUUCGUGAAGCAUUCCCUAUUUUA